rnacentral:rRNA from 1 species
GAUGAACGCUGGCGGCGUGCUUAACACAUGCAAGUCGAACGGAAAGGCCCUGCUUUUGUGGGGCGCUCGUGUGGCGAACGGGUGUGUAUAACGCGUGUAACCUGCCCUUGACUUUGGGAUAACACCAGGAAACUGGGGCUCAUACAGCAUAGGAGCUCCUGCUGCAUGGUGGUGGAUGGAAAGAUUCGGCGGUUGUGGAUGGACUCGCAGCUUAUCGGCUUGUUGGUGGAGUAGUGGCUUUCCAAGCGUUUGACGGGUAGCCGGCCUGAGAGCGCGACCGGGGACAAUAGGACUAAGAGACGGCGCAGUCUGCUACGGUAGGCAGCAGUCGGGAAUAUGACGCAACAGGCGGAAGCCUGAUGCGGCAGCGCUGCGUGCGUGAUGCCGGGUUUCGAGUUGUAAACCGCUUUGUCCGGUGACGAGGCGUGAUUGACGGUAAUUGGUAAGGAAGCACCGGCUAACUACGUG